UAUUUUCUUAUAUUAAAUCAUUGAAUUGUUACUUACAUUUUAUUUGUUUGUGUUUGCAUGUGUAAUCUAUCCGGUCCUCAUGGAUUCUAUUCUUGCAUUUUCCUAUUGGGCCACGGAGGCCCAAUUAUUUUUAUUCGAGUCAGCUUGCCCCUUAAAAAUUGAAGAAUAAGUCCCGAAAAAGGCGUACAGGUUGCAGGAGAUCGUAUAUGUUAAGCAUGCAUAAUAAAGUGUUGCAAAUCGGAAAGAUUG
rnacentral:lncRNA from 1 species